GACGAACGCUGGCGGCGUGCUUAACACAUGCAAGUCGAACGGAGAGGCCCCUUUGGGGGUCCUCGAGUGGCGAACGGGUGAGUAACACGUGAGUAACCUGCCCUUGACUUCGGGAUAACUUCAGGAAACUGGGGCUAAUACCGGAUAGGAAUCCUUGCUGCAUGGUGGGGGUUGGAAAGCUUCGGCGGUUUUGGAUGGACUCGCGGCUUAUCAGCUUGUUGGUGGGGUAGUGGCUUACCAAGGCUUUGACGGGUAGCCGGCCUGGGAGGGCGACCGGCCACAUUGGGACUGCGAUACGGCCCAGACUCCUACGGGAGGCAGCAGUGGGGAACAUUGCACAAUGGGCGGAAGCCUGAUGCAGCAGCGCCGCGUGCGGGAUGACGGCCUUCGGGUUGUAAACCGCUUUCAGCAGGGGCGAAGCUUGUGGUGACGGUACCUGCAGAAGAAGCACCGGCUACCUACGU
rnacentral:rRNA from 1 species